UUCCCGCAUCGAAGAGGUAGGAGCUGC
rnacentral:sRNA from 1 species